GUCGAAAAGGGCACCUAGGGGUGCGGCGGCUCAUAGUAGGGUCGACGGCAUAGGAGAAAG
rfam:Gardnerella vaginalis ATCC 14019, complete genome.